GCCCCGGUAGCUCAACUGGAUAGAGCAUCGCCCUUCUAAGGCGAAUGUUACAGGUUCGAGUCCUGUCCGGGGUA
rnacentral:tRNA from 1 species